AAGCUGUUGCUGGAAAUUGGACCCGAGGGCGGUCGUCCGUCGAGGAGAGGGAGCGGUCGGUGGGCGCAGGAGAAUGGUGGUCCGUCGGCAGGCGGCGUCCUCCGUCAGGGUGCCUGCAGAAAAGCCGGUGGCCGGGUUUUCCGGCACCGGCCCUCCGAUGCUUAAGUCAGAGGGGGGCAAUCAGUGUUCAAAGGAGAAAGAAGACAGACAGUAUAUUUUUAGUUUUCUGUGUCCCCCCCCCCAUUGAGAAACGAGGGUUCUCUUUUAUAGGGGGGUCGGUGUACCUGUGAUGUGAUGGGGCGAGGCCGUCGUAUGGCUCAGCAUGUUGCUUGGACUGGCAAACGAUCGGGCGAAUCAUUACAUUAAUGUCGGAAAUGAGGCCGUCGUACGACCCGAGCUGGCACGUGAUCAAGUGAAUUAUUGCAUUGGUGUCGGAGGUGAGGCCGAGAUCAGAGACUUGUCACGGUUGAUUGGACUCCGUUGAGCUGAUUUGCCGUGGAGAGCCAUGGGUCCGUAGACAAUAGGAGCCAUGCGCAUUAAUUGUUGA
rnacentral:lncRNA from 1 species